CGGGGGAGCACCACAAGGGGUGAAGCUUGCGGUUUAAUUGGAGUCAACGCCGGAAAUCUCACCGGGAGCGACAGCAGUAUGAAAGCCAGAUUGAAGGUCUUGCUAGACGAGCUGAGAGGAGGUGCAUGGCCGUCGCCAGUUCGUGCCGUGAGGUGUCCUGUUAAGUCAGGCAACGAUCGAGACCCGCGUCCUCUGUUGCAACCAGCUUUGAGCUGGGCACACUGAGGAGACCGCCACUGAUAAAGUGGAGGAAGGAGCGGGCCACGGCAGGUCAGUAUGCCCCGAAUCUCCCGGGCCACACGCGAGCUGCAAUGGCAAGUACAAUGGGUUCCGACCUCGAAAGGGGGAGGCAAUCUCGAAAGCUUGCCGUAGUUGGAAUUGAGGGUUGAAACCCACCCUCAUGAACAUGGAAUCCCUAGUAAUCGUGUCACUAGCGCGCGGUGAAUACGUCCCUGCUCCUUGCACAAC
rnacentral:rRNA from 1 species